AACGAACGCUGGCGGCAGGCUUAACACAUGCAAGUCGAACGCCCCGCAAGGGGAGUGGCAGACGGGUGAGUAACGCGUGGGAAUCUACCCUUUACUACGGAAUAACGCAUGGAAACGUGUGCUAAUACCGUAUGUGUCCUUCGGGAGAAAGAUUUAUCGGUAAAGGAUGAGCCCGCGUUGGAUUAGCUAGUUGGUGGGGUAAAGGCCUACCAAGGCGACGAUCCAUAGCUGGUCUGAGAGGAUGAUCAGCCACAUUGGGACUGAGACACGGCCCAAACUCCUACGGGAGGCAGCAGUGGGGAAUAUUGGACAAUGGGCGCAAGCCUGAUCCAGCCAUGCCGCGUGAGUGAUGAAGGCCCUAGGGUUGUAAAGCUCUUUCACCGGAGAAGAUAAUGACGG
rnacentral:rRNA from 1 species